UUAGAGGAGAGCAUGCAUCCAGGUCCGUGAAAGUCCGUGAUUGUUAUCCGUGUGUGUAGUAUUAUCGGUCCCCGUGCAAAUAUGACGCAGCCAAGCACGUAAAAAAAAGAUCUUUUCUCUCCACCAUCUCUCCGCCAAUUCCCCCUCUCUCACACACGAGCUCAGUUGCCAUAUUGUUACGGCCGCCACCUCCAAUUCCGGCUAGCUCCGGCGCAAUUCCACACCACCGCUCACUGUCCAGGCUCCCCAUCAGUGCUCUCCUCUGAUCCCUUGCCGCGACGACGUCCUCCGCUCAUCGUCCCGGCUUCGCCUCCCUGUUCUUCUCUGAUUCUCCACCGCGGCGACAUCCUCCGCGCCCCAGCUCACCGGCCCGGCUCCCCUCGAUGCUCUCCUCUGAUGCUCUGCCGCAACAACAUCCUCCGCGCUCCCGCAGCAAGCCUAGUCGCCAUGGGUCGCAUGCGUGGCUCCCGCCCACUACCCCACGUCUCCGGAUGCCGGGUUGCCGUCUCAGGCUCAACCGUGCUGCUUCGCAUUGGCUACAUCAAAUCCAGCGUUGACGGUCCGGUGAUGAUGCUGGCAUGGCACUCUACAUAAAAGACUUUUCCUGCAAACAUACACUGCAAUGGUUAUGAGAAUUUCGUUUCUCCUAGUACACCAUAUCAAAGCAAGACUAAUACAUGAUCCCAAGCAUGAGUAGCACGAGAAUAAUGGUGAGACGGAACUAACUAAUGCUGGGAUUUUUGGAAAAUUGAAAUAUCCAGUUCUGUAUAUAGUCAGUAUUCUUGGUUACCUACUUAUCAUUUAGUUGGUUGCUGAAUCCAUCUCACUGUUAAUACAAUAUGAUGUUUGGAUAAUUGUUAGUAAGAAAUACAUGCUGAGGGUUGUUCACAAUGAACAGCCACAUCCGAUUGGUCAAAGAUGCUCAGUGUUUUAUGUAACACCCCAGGAAGGA